rnacentral:tRNA from 1 species
GCCCUGGUAGCUCAGCUGGUCAGAGCGGUCGCCUUGUAAGCGAAAGGUUCGUCGGUUCGAAUCCGACCCAGGGCU